GGUCUAAUAGUGUAGUGGUUAGCACAUGGGAUUUUGAUAACCGUGCGUUGGCUGUAAAGUUUGUUCUUCCCAUAACCCAGGUUCGAGUCCUGGUUAGACCU